rnacentral:rRNA from 1 species
GACGAACGCUGGCGGCGUGCUUAACACAUGCAAGUCGAGCGGUAAGGCCCUUUUGGGGGUACACGAGCGGCGAACGGGUGAGUAACACGUGGGUGACCUGCCCUCAGCUCUGGGAUAAGCCUGGGAAACUGGGUCUAAUACUGGAUAUGACCUUUCCUCGCAUGGGGUUGGGUGGAAAGUUUUUCGGCUGGGGAUGGGCCCGCGGCCUAUCAGCUUGUUGGUGGGGUGAUGGCCUACCAAGGCGACGACGGGUAGCCGGCCUGAGAGGGCGACCGGCCACACUGGACUGAGACACGGCCCAGACUCCUACGGGAGGCAGCAGUGGGGAAUAUUGCGCAAUGGGCGGAAGCCUGACGCAGCGACGCCGCGU